AACGAACGCUGGCGGCAUGCCUAACACAUGCAAGUCGAACGAGACCUUCGGGUCUAGUGGCGCACGGGUGCGUAACGCGUGGGAACCUGCCCUUAGGUUCGGAAUAACUCCCCGAAAGGGGUGCUAAUACCGGAUAAUGUCUUCGGACCAAAGAUUUAUCGCCUUUGGAUGGGCCCGCGUUGGAUUAGCUAGUUGGUAGGGUAAAAGCCUACCAAGGCGACGAUCCAUAGCUGGUCUGAGAGGAUGAUCAGCCACACUGGGACUGAGAAACGGCCCAGACUGAGGGGGGAGGCAGCAAGGGGGAAUAGUCGACAAAGGGCGAAGGCCGGAGCAUGACAGGCGGCGUGGGGGAAGAAGGUCUUCGGAGUGGAAAGCACAUUAAGAUGGGAGGAAGGGCAGUAAGUUAAUACCUUGCUGUCUUGACGUGACGAACAGAAGAAGAACGGGAGAACUUCGUG
rnacentral:rRNA from 1 species